UACGUAGGGGGCAAGCGUUGUCCGGAUUUAUUGGGCGUAAAGAGCGUGUAGGCGGCUAUACAGGUCCGCUGUGAAAACUCGAGGCUCAACCAUCGAGACGUCGGUGGAAACCGUAUGGCUAGAGUCCGGAAGAGGAGAGUGGAAUUCCUGGUGUAGCGGUGAAAUGCGCAGAUAUCAGGAAGAACACCCGUGGCGAAGGCGGCUCUCUGGGACGGUACUGACGCUGAGACGCGAAAGCGUGGGGAGCGAACAGG
rnacentral:rRNA from 1 species